rnacentral:rRNA from 1 species
UACGUAGGGUGCGAGCGUUAAUCGGAAUUACUGGGCGUAAAGCGUGCGCAGGCGGCGCGUUAAGACAGGUGUGAAAGCCCCGAGCUUAACUUGGGAAUUGCGCUUGUGACUGGCGGGCUGGAGUGUGGCAGAGGGAGGUGGAAUUCCACGUGUAGCAGUGAAAUGCGUAGAGAUGUGGAGGAACACCGAUGGCGAAGGCAGCCCCCUGGGCUAACACUGACGCUCAUGCACGAAAGCGUGGGGAGCAAACAGG